rnacentral:rRNA from 1 species
AUUAACGUUGGCGGUGCGUCUAAUACAUGCAAGUCGAGCGGCCCGCAAGGGUAGCGGCGAACGGGUGAGCAAUAUGUUGGAACCUGCCCCGAACUCAGGGAUAUCUCGUCGAAAGACGAGUUAAUACCGGAUGGUCCCGCAAGGGUAAAGCUUUUGCGGUUCGGGAGGGGCCUACAGCCUAUCAGCUAGUUGGUAAGGUAACGGCUUACCAAGGCGAUGACGGGUAGCUGGUCUGAGAGGAUGAUCAGCCACAGGGGAACUGAGACACGGUCCCCACUCCUACGGGAGGCAGCAGUAGGGAAUCUUCCGCAAUGGGCGAAAGCCUGACGGAGCGACACCGCGUGAACGAUGAAGGUCGUAAGAUCGUAAAGUUCUUUUCUGAGGGAAUAAUUCUGAAGGUACCUUAGGAAUAAGUAACUGCUAACUACGU